AGCUAUUACACGUAAAUGUCUCAUCAAUCUUUAAACUUGUGUCAAAUUUAACCUCAUCUUCUAUAUUAGUUAGUUUCUUCUUCUCUUUAAAACCCUCUUUAAAAAUAAAUGAAGCUUUAAACCAAGCAAGACUUUACACGGUUAAAAGAGUUCAGUUUUCGAAGUUGUAAAAAGGCAUGGAGAUUUAAACUAACUAAUACAGCUUCAUAGAUUCAAAAAGGUCAGAUAUGUAAGUUCAAAAACUUCUUUAAAAUCCUAUUGAAAAAGUAACCUGCUUUUAACAAAGUAAUACUUUAAGGUAACAUGCUUUUAAGAUUAUAAAGCUUUAUAACUCAAAAAAAAAAUCAGAUUUUAAAGUUCUAAAAGCUA
rnacentral:lncRNA from 1 species